rnacentral:lncRNA from 1 species
GAAUUUGUGCCAGCAGAGCUAUUAGCAGGAUUGAAUGGGGGGGAAAAUCUAAGAUGAAAUCUUCCAGAUACCGACACGAGUGCAAUGCCUUCCCGCUCUCAUCCCAUCAACUAUAAUGAAUGAUUGGUACAAUGCAGACAAGGACUGUAAUGGAAGACUGCGGCAAAGACAGGAAUAGGGAUACUUCAGAGUAAUUCACCCUCUUGCAUGAGACAGAGGCAAGUCAUAAUAUUUUUCAUGUAGCUCUGCUGUCAGUUGUUGAGGAGAAUCCGACAAAGCACAAUUUAUUUUGUGAACUGGCUUCAUUUCAGUCCCAGGAGAAGAGAUUACAGAGAUUCCUCUGCCCCUGUGCUCAGGAUUAUAAUCUGGCCCACCUUCUCUGAAGUCAAAAUAAGACAUAUUAUGCAGCACACAUUGAAAACAGAGCUCUGCACAAAGGAUUCAUAGUUCCUUGGAAAUGGCCGCUUCUAUUCACAAGAUGAUAGAGAACAAUGGUCCAGUCUUGCAUCCACAGAUUGCUGGUUGCUACCCCUUACUGCAAGUGCAUCUUUGCCAAGUAUUUAGAGAACAUCAUGCAAGAUAUCAUCUUCCCUAGGGCCAGACUCACCUGAUACCUAACCACUGUGGUAAAGCUUUAAGCUCCAAGGUGAC